CAUCAGUGUGUCUGAUCUCAGCAUCAGUCUCUCUCUAGCUCUGGAGGUGGAAUAUCAGGAUAAAAACAGCUACAGCUGUGUGAUCAACAAUCCCAUCAGAAACCAGACCACACAUCUGGACAUCACACUCUGUCAGACACAUUUAGAUCAGGGCCCACCUUUAGUGUACAUAGUGUUGCUAUCUGCUGCUUGAUCUCUGUUGAUCGUAGCUGCAGUCCUGAUGUGCUGCAUCUGCAGGAAAUAUAGAAAAACAGUCCAGACCCAGGAAGAAGACAGAACUGAUUCAGCAUUGUGUAAACCAACAACUCGAAAAGCGAAAUUAAAGUCGAAUGCUGUGUAUGAAAAUUUCCCCAAAAAACGAUGAUCAAAUAGUUAUCUAGCAGAAUGGAUUCUCACACAGGACCCUGACUCACACCUGUUUGUGUUCACAGUUAUUCUCUGCCAGGAUGUCAUUCUUCUCUCUCAGUUUUGUUUUUGCUCACAUUUUUGGCUUCAUCUUUUCUUUGUUUUUCUUUUUGCUGUUAGUUUUUGAAUUAGUUUAAUUUAGUGGUUCAAAAAUAGUAAACCAGAAUCUCAAAUAAAAUGUUCUGUUUUGAUUAUUAAAUAUUGACCCCAUUUACUGCUUGUUUUUUAUUUGUUUUCUUGUCAGUAUGCACUACUGGAGACUUUAGCAUCAUCGCUGUCUAGUGUUUAAAGGAGAAACUCGAGUGUGCUAUGAAUAGAUGCUGCUGUACUCAGAGAAGAACAGCUAGAGAACUAAUGAUAAAAUAGACACAGGGCCUAAAACGUAUCUUUCACAUCUAGAAAAUCUAUGGAAUGUUUAAAAUUAAUGUCAUAUGUUUCUACCAAUUCAUUUUCUAAAAUAUGUUUUUCAUAAUAAACAAAUUUACAGACGCAGAACACAAUGAGUGCGUGAAAUCUGUAAUCAUAGCACUUAAAUGCGCAAACAACCUAAUAAAAUGUAUGAUAAAACAAAAUCCA